rnacentral:rRNA from 1 species
GCAUAUCAAUAAGCGGAGGAAAAGAAACUAACAAGGAUUCCCCUAGUAGCGGCGAGCGAAGCGGGAAGAGCUCAAAUUUAUAAUCUGGCACCUUCGGUGUCCGAGUUGUAAUCUCUAGAAAUGUUUUCCGCGUUGGACCGCACACAAGUCUGUUGGAAUACAGCGGCAUAGUGGUGAGACCCCCGUAUAUGGUGCGGACGCCCAGCGCUUUGUGAUACAUUUUCGAAGAGUCGAGUUGUUUGGGAAUGCAGCUCAAAUUGGGUGGUAAAUUCCAUCUAAAGCUAAAUAUUGGCGAGAGACCGAUAGCGAACAAGUACCGUGAGGGAAAGAUGAAAAGCACUUUGGAAAGAGAGUUAACAGUACGUGAAAUUGUUGGAAGGGAAACGCUUGAAGUCAGACUUGCUUGCUGAGCAAUCGGUUUGCAGGCCAGCAUCAGUUUUCCGGGAUGGAUAAUGGUAGAGAGAAGGUAGCAGUUUCGGCUGUGUUAUAGCUCUCUGCUGGAUACAUCUUGGGGGACUGAGGAACGCAGUGUGCCUUUGGCGGGGGUUUCGACCUCUUCACACUUAGGAUGCUGGUGGAAUGGCUUUAAACGACCCGUCUUGAAACACGGACCA